AAUACACGUUUUUUCUACUUGAAGAAUACAAAGUGUGGCACCCCCAUGUAACAGAAUAAAUGACUGCAGUAAAAAGCAAGACGGACCGUACGCCGAUGUUUCCGAAGGUUGCAGCAGUUAUUACACAUGUUACAGACAUCAGUUCGUUGGUCGUAACUUCUGUCCGGGUGAUCUUAUUUUCAAUCAAGCUAAAAGAGUCUGUGAUUAUAAGGACAGUGCCACGUGCAAAUAAAAUCCAGCCGAACACACGCACGCACACACAUAGAUCAUUUAUGAAUAUUCAGUAAUAAAAUCAGAUACUUUAUUACAAAAUUUAAUAUUUUCA
rnacentral:lncRNA from 1 species